UGCAACCUCCUUUACCUCUUCCAGACUUGUCGUCCACUCCCCAUUUUCUUUUUGGAGUUUGGCAAUGGCAUUCUUCUUCUUUCUCGCCGACGCCAUGGCAUGGAAAAAUUUAGUAUUCAUAUCGCCAUCUUUUAGCCAGUGCUGUUUUGCGCGUUGUUUCCAGUACGUCUCCUCUCGAAUAAACACUUGAGCAAGCUCAGCACGAGCUUCUUUAAACCGACGGACAGAAGCACCAUCAGUACGAC
rnacentral:lncRNA from 1 species